rnacentral:rRNA from 1 species
GUGCCAGCAGCCGCGGUAAUACAUAGGGGGCAAGCGUUAUCCGGAAUUAUUGGGCGUAAAGGGUGCGUAGGCGGUUAUUUAAGUCUUUGGUAUAAGUGCAGUGCUUAACGCUGUGAUGCUAAAGAAACUGGAUGACUUGAGUUAGAUAGAGGCAAGUGGAAUUCCAUGUGUAGCGGUAAAAUGCGUAAAUAUAUGGAGGAACACCAGUGGCGAAGGCGGCUUGCUGGGUCUAUACUGACGCUGAGGCACGAAAGCGUGGGGAGCAAACAGGAUUAGAUACCCUGGUAGUCCACGCCGUAAACGAUGAGUACUAAGUGUUGGAGAAAUUCAGUGCUGUAGUUAACGCAAUAAGUACUCCGCCUGAGUAGUACGUGCGCAAGCAUGAAACUCAAAGGAAUUGACGGGACCCCGCACAAGCGGUGGAUCAUGUUGUUUAAUUCGAAGAUACGCGAAAAACCUUACCAGGUCUUGACAUCCCUUGCAAAGCUAUAGAGAUAUAGUGGAGGUUAUCAAGGAGACAGGUGGUGCAUGGUUGUCGUCAGCUCGUGUCGCGAGAUGUUGGGUUAAGUCCCGCAACGAGCGCAACCCUUAUUGCUAGUUACCAUCAUUAAGUUGGGGACUCUAGCGAGACUGCCAGUGAUAAACUGGAGGAAGGUGGGGAUGACGUCAAAUCAUCAUGCCCCUUAUGACCUGGGCUACAAACGUGAUACAAUGGCUGAAACAAAGGGCAGCGAAGCAGUGAUGUGGAGCGAAACCCAAAAAAGCAGUCUCAGUUCGGAUUGAAGUCUGCAACUCGACUUCAUGAAGUCGGAAUCGCUAGUAAUCGCGAAUCAGAACGUCGCGGUGAAUACGUUCUCGGGGUUUGUACACACCGCCCGUCACACC